rnacentral:misc_RNA from 1 species
AAGUCGUAACAAGGUUUCCGUAGGUGAACCUGCGGAAGGAUCAUUAACACAAUUUUACUGUGAUAAAUCCUUUGAAUUCUCGAAUUCAAUGGUAUCCACCCCAUUAUUGACGAACUUUUCUAGAUGUUUUAAAACGUAGAGCUAGUCUUUAUAUUUUUUAACAUUCUAAACCUUUUUCUAUACCCACACACACUUAAAAAACCCCUUUUACAACAUGUCUUAGACUGAAAUGAAAAUUUUCUAUCAAAAAAUUGAUAAAAACAACUUUUAACAACGGAUAUCUUGGCUCUC